rnacentral:rRNA from 1 species
AUGUCAACAUUCGAUGUCUAUGGUAUGAAAAAUGUCAAUAACCAAAUAAGCUCAUCACACAUGUGUGUGGUCGGUCGAGGGAAGGACUUCAGUAGUCACAAUGCUGCAAUAGCUGGAUGGACGGUUAGCCCAUCCGAAUAUGGUGAUAGCAAAACACACUUCUUUACACGAUGGACGGUUGAUGGGUAUAAGUCAACCGGAUGCUAUGACUUGAAAUGCGAUGGUUUUGUGCCAGUACAAAAUGCGCCUACCACUCCAGGAGACACUCUAGACCACAAAAACGGAAAACUUAAGAUCACAAUCAAGAUAUUCAAGAAGAAAGAUGAUGGUGACUGGUGGUUGUACUUUGGUUAUGAUAAUCAAAGCCUUAGAGCUGUUGGAUUCUGGCCCAAAAGUAUCUUUAAUAAUAUGGCAGACCAUGCAAAUCUUGUAGAGUGGGGUGGUUACACCUUCUCCAAUUCCGGGAGUGCUAGUCCUGCAAUGGGCAGCGGCCACUGGCCUGGGAUACAUUCUGCAGUUGUUCGAGAUGUUAGAUUUGUUGAUGACACUGGUAGAGGCUACAAAAUUGAUCCAUGGCCCGGGGGCCUUUUUGCUUCUAUCUCCCACAAAAAAUGCUAUGGAGCCGUUCUAUCUGUAGACGAAAUGUUUUAUUAUGGCGGACCUGGUGGUUGUACUAUGUAG